rnacentral:misc_RNA from 1 species
GAUGAAGAACGUAGUGAAAUGCGAUACUUGGUGUGAAUUGCAGAAUCCCGUGAACCAUCGAGUCUUUGAACGCAAGUUGCGCCCGAAGCCAUUAGGCCGAGGGCACGCCUGCCUGGGCGUCACACGUCGUUGCCCCCCCAUCUACUCCUUCGGGAUUGCGGGGGGCAGAUGAUGGCCUCCCGUGCGCCUCGUCGCGCGGUUGGCAUAAAUGCCAAGUCCUCGGCGACGCACGCCACGACAAUCGGUGGUUGCGAAACCUCGGUUGCCCGUCGUGUGCGGUCGUCGCGCAUCGAGGGCUCGAAAAAAUUGCCGGGCUCCGGCUCGGCUUUCAACGCGACCCCAGGUCAGGCGGGGUUACCCGCUGAAUUUAAGCAUAUCAAAAGCGGAGGA